rnacentral:rRNA from 1 species
UACGUAGGGUGCAAGCGUUGUCCGGAAUUAUUGGGCGUAAAGAGCUCGUAGGCGGUCUGUCGCGUCGGCUGUGAAAACCCGGAGCUCAACUCCGGGCCUGCAGUCGAUACGGGCAAACUGGAGUGUUGCAGGGGAGACUGGAAUUCCUGGUGUAGCGGUGAAAUGCGCAGAUAUCAGGAGGAACACCGGUGGCGAAGGCGAGUCUCUGGACAGUUACUGACGCUGAUGCACGAAGGCCAGGGGAGCAAACGGG